AGGUACUUUGGUUGCUUAAGGCCAAGGGCGGUAGCGUG
rfam:Chania multitudinisentens RB-25, complete genome.